CAAGCAGUAGUUUAGAUGUAGAAUUUUGGCUUUGGGUGCCAAUGGUGGGAGUUAAAAUCUCCUCUGCUUGA
rnacentral:tRNA from 1 species